rnacentral:rRNA from 1 species
GACGAACGCUGGCGGCGUGCUUAACACAUGCAAGUCGAACGGUAAGGCCCUUCGGGGUACACGAGUGGCGAACGGGUGAGUAACACGUGGGUGAUCUGCCCUGCACCUCGGGAUAAGCCUGGGAAACUGGGUCUAAUACCGGAUAGGACCACUGCCUGCAUGGGUGGUGGUGGAAAGCUUUUGCGGUGUGGGAUGGGCCCGCGGCCUAUCAGCUUGUUGGUGGGGUGAUGGCCUACCAAGGCGACGACGGGUAGCCGGCCUGAGAGGGUGACCGGCCACACUGGGACUGAGAUACGGCCCAGACUCCUACGGGAGGCAGCAGUGGGGAAUAUUGCACAAUGGGCGCAAGCCUGAUGCUGCGACGCCGCGUGAGGGAUGACGGCCUUCGGGUUGUAAACCUCUUUCAGCACCGACGAAGCGCAAGUGACGGUGGGUGCAGAAGAAGGACCGGCCAACUACGUGCCAGCAGCCGCAGUAAGAC